rnacentral:rRNA from 1 species
AGUAAUGUCUGGGAAACUGCCUGAUGGAGGCCGAUAACUACUGGAAACGGUAGCUAAUACCGCAUAACGUCGCAAGACCAAAGAGGGGGACCUUCGGGCCUCUUGCCAUCAGAUGUGCCCAGAUGGGAUUAGCUAGUAGGUGGGGUAACGGCUCACCUAGGCGACGAUCCCUAGCUGGACUGAGAGGAUGACCUGCCACACUGGAACUGAGACACGGUCCAGACUCCUACGGGAGGCAGCAGUGGGGAAUUUUGCACAAUGGGCGAAAGCCUGAUGCAGCCAUGCCGCGUGUAUGAACAAGGCCUUCGGGUUGUAAAGUACUUUCAGCGGGGAGGAAGGUGUUGUGGUUAAUAACCGGAGCAAUUGACGUUACCCGCAGAAGAAGCACCGGCUAACUCCGUGCCAGCAGCCGCGGUAAUACGGAGGGUGCAAGCGUAAAUCGGAAUUACUCCGCGUAAAGCGCACGCAGGCGGUCUGUCAAGUCGGAUGUGAAAUCCCCGGGC